rnacentral:rRNA from 1 species
CUAAGAAUAUUCCGCAAUGGACGAAAGUCUGACGGAGCGACGCCGCGUGGAUGAAGAAGGCCGAAAGGUUGUAAAAUCCUUUUGCGGGCGAAGAAUAAGGCUGGGAGGUAAUGCCCGGCUGAUGACGUUAGCCCGUGAAUAAGCCCCGGCUAAUUACGUGCCAGCAGCCGCGGUAUCACGUAAGGGGCGAGCGUUGUUCGGAAUUAUUGGGCGUAAAGGGCGCGUAGGCGGUCGCGUAAGUCUGAUGUGAAAACCCCGGGCUCAACCCGGGAACUGCAUUGGAAACUGCGCGGCUUGAGUCACGGAGGGGGAAUCGGAAUUCCUGGUGUAGGGGUGAAAUCUGUAGAUAUCAGGAAGAACACCGGUGGCGAAGGCGGAUUUCCAGCCGAUGACUGACGCUGAGGCGCGAAAGUGCGGGGAGCAAACAGGAUUAGAUACCCUGGUAGUCCGCACUGUAAACGAUGCACACUAGGCGUCGGG